AUGAAAGGUAUGAUUUUAAAAGUAGACUUUGAGAAAGCCCAUGAUAAUGUUAAUUGGAAAUUCUUGCUAUGCAUUUUGAGAAGGUUCGGCUUUGGAGGGAGGUGGAUAAGGUGGAUUGAUUCUUGUGUGUGCAGUGCAUCACUUUUGGUACUCAUAAACGGGAGUCCCGCUGGUGAUUUUUCGAUGGGGAAAGGAUUGCGUCAAGACGAUUUGUUAUCCCCUUUCUUGUUCACUCUAGUGGCGGAGGGUCUAGCGUUGUUAGUCAAACGGGCGGUGGAGAUUGGGGCAUUCUCAGGAUUCAAGGUAAGCCCUACUUUGGAGUUUUAG